CAUAUAUUCCCUCCGUCCCAAAAUUCUUGUCUUAAAUUUGUCUAAAUACGGAUGUAUCUAGUUACGUUUUAGUGUUAGAUACAUCUGUAUCUAGACAAAUUUAAGACAAGAAUUUUGGGACGAUGGGAGUAUAAU
rnacentral:pre_miRNA from 1 species